GAGAGCCGUGUGCAUCGAAAGGUGCAAGCACUGGUUCGGGGAGGGGUGGCAGGAAAAGGUCCAAAAGGAACCUCGCUUACCGCCUACUCUAC
rfam:Ktedonobacter racemifer DSM 44963 strain SOSP1-21 Krac_Contig205, whole genome shotgun sequence.